rnacentral:rRNA from 1 species
GGCGCUCAGUCGCCAGCCGCGGACGCGAAGCCGGGUGAUCUAUCCAUGGGCAGGCUGAGGCAGAGGUAAGACUCUGUGGAGGGCCGAACCCACUUCGGUUGAAAACGGAGGGGAUGACCUGUGGAUAGGGGUGAAAGGCCAAUCAAACCCGGAGAUAUCUCGUUCUCCCCGAAAUAGCUUUAGGGCUAGCCUCGAUCGCUUACCCGCGGUGGUAGAGCACUGGAUCCGUGAGGGGGCCUCAACAGCCUACCGACCGAAACCAAACUCCGAAUGCCGCGGGUCCCGAGAUCGGGAGUCAGAACAUGUGGGCUAAGCCGUGUGUUCGAGAGGGAAACAGCCCAGACCGCCUGCUAAGGUCCCCAAAUCAACGCUGAGUGGCAAAGGAUGUGCGUUUGCCUAGACAACCAGGAUGUUGGCUUAGAAGCAGCCAUGCAUUUAAAGAGUGCGUAACAGCUCACUGGUCAAGUGGACAUGCGCCGACAAUACACGGGGCUAAGCGUUGUACCGAAGCAGCGGACUGUUUUAUCAGUGGUAGGGGAGCUUUCCAUGCCGGGCCGAAGCGGAGAGGCGACUCUCCGUGGACUGCAUGGAAGUGAGAAUGCUGGCAUGAGUAACGAGAGAGGGGCGGGAAACCCCUCCGCCGUAAGCCUAAGGUUUCCUGGGCAAGGCUAAUCCCCCCAGGGUCAGUCGGGAGCUAAGGCGAGGCCGAGAGGCGUAGCCGAUGCGCAACAGGCGGACAUUCCUGUACCACCAGCCAUCGUUUGACGACGGGGCGACGGAGAAGGGUAGCCGGGCGGGGUUCUGGACGUCCCCGUGAAAGCGCGUAGGGAGCGGCUCAGGCAAAUCCGAGCCGCGCAUGUCCCGAGACGCGAGACGAAGCUUUUAGUGAAGCCGGCGAGCCCAUGCUUCCAAGAAAAACCCCUAAGGAGAGGGGCUGGUGCCCGUACCAAAACCGACACAGGUAGGCGGGUAGAGCAUACCAAGGCGAUCGGGAGAACCAUGGUUAAGGAACUCGGCAUACCGACCCCGUAACUUAGGGAGAAGGGGUGCCCCCGGGGGUGGAAGGACUUGCUCCUCGAGCCCGUGGGGGUCGCAGUGAAGAGGCCCAAGCGACUGUUUACCAAAAACACAGGACUCUGCCAAGCCGCAAGGCGAAGUAUAGGGUCUGACGCCUGCCCGGUGCUGGAAGGUUACGCGGAUGAGUUAGCGCAAGCGAAGCCCUGAAGCCAAGCCCCAGUAAACGGCGGCCGUAACUAUAACGGUCCUAAGGUAGCGAAAUUCCUUGUCGGGUAAGUUCCGACCUGCACGAAUGGCGUAACGACUUGGGCGCUGUCUCAACCAUGGACCCGGUGAAAUUGUAUUAUUCGUGAAGAUGCGAAUUACCUGCGGAAGGACGGAAAGACCCCGUGAACCUUUACUGCAGCUUGGCAUUGGCUGUUGGUGCGGUGCGUAGAGGAUAGGCAGGAGCCUGCGAACCGGGGACGCCAGUUCCCGGGGAGGCGACCUUGGAAUACUGCCCUCACCGCAUCGGCAGCCUAACGCGCCGCCCUCAUCGGGGGCGCGGACCGUGCCAGGUGGGUAGUUUGACUGGGGCGGUCGCCUCCUAAACUGUAACGGAGGCGUGCUAAGGUUCGCUCAGGGCGGUCGGCAAUCGCCCGCAGAGCACAAGAGUACAAGCGAGCCUGACUGCGAGACCAACAAGUCGAGCAGAGACGAAAGUCGGUUCUAGUGAUCCGGCGGCCCGGCGUGGAACGGCCGUCGCUCAACGGAUAAAAGGUACUCCGGGGAUAACAGGCUGAUCUUGCCCAAGAGUCCACAUCGACGGCAAGGUUUGGCACCUCGAUGUCGGCUCAUCGCAUCCUGGGGCUGUAGCAGGUCCCAAGGGUACGGCUGUUCGCCGUUUAAAGCGGUACGCGAGCUGGGUUCAGAACGUCGUGAGACAGUUCGGUCCCUAUCCUCCGUGGGCGCAAGAGAAUUGAGAGGAUCUGUCCCUAGUACGAGAGGACCGGGAUGGACGCACCUCUGGUGCCGCAGUUGUCGACCAACGGCACAGCUGCCUAGCUACGUGCGGUACGGAUAACCGCUGAAAGCAUCUAAGCGGGAAGCCGGCCUCGAGAUGAGUUCUCUUUUCGGUAAGGCCACUUCUAGACCAGGAGUUCGAUAGGCCGCAGCUGCAAGCCCUGCGAGGGGCUCAGGCGAGCGGUACUAAUCGGCCGAGCUCUUCAUCAA